rnacentral:rRNA from 1 species
CCUACGGGAGGCAGCAGUGAGGAAUAUUGGUCAAUGGCCGGAAGGCUGAACCAGCCAUGCCGCGUGAAGGUCAGUGCCCUAUGGGCGUUAAACUUCUUUUGUGCGGGAGCAAUAAUGGUCACGUGUGGCCAGACGAGAGUACCGUACGAAUAAGCAUCGGCUAACUCCGUGCCAGCAGCCGCGGUAAUACGGGGGAUGCAAGCGUUAUCCGGAUUUAUUGGGUUUAAGGGGUGCGUAGGCUGUGAGGUAAGUCAGCGGUGAAAUGCCCCCGCUCAACGGGGUGAAGUGCCAUUGAUACUGCCUGGCUGGAAUGCGGAUGCGGUGGGAGGAAUGUGUGGUGUAGCGGUGAAAUGCAUAGAUAUCACACAGAACACCGAUUGCGAAGGCAUCUCACGAAGCCGCGAUUGACGCUGAUGCACGAAAGCGUGGGUAUCAAACAGGAUUAGAUACCCUUGUAGUC